rnacentral:rRNA from 1 species
GACGAACGCUGGCGGCGUGCUUAACACAUGCAAGUCGAACGGAAAGGCCCUGCUUUUGUUGGGUGCUCGAGUGGCGAACGGGUGAGUAACACGUGAGUAACCUGCCCUUGACUUUGUGAUAACUUCAGGAAACUGGGGCGAAUACCGGAUAGGAGCUCCUGCUGCAUGGUGGGGGUUGGAAAGUUCCGGCGUUUGGGGAUGGACUCGCUGCUUAUCAGCUUGUUGGGGGGGUAGUGGCUUACCAAGGCUUUGACGGGUAGCCGGCAUGAGAGGGUGGCCAGCCACCUUGCGACUGAGAUACGGACCAGAAUGCUACGGGAGGCAGCAGUGGGGAAUAUUGCAGAACGGGCGGAAGCCUGAUACAGCAACGCCGCGUGCGGGAUGACGGCCUUCGGGUUGUAAACCGCUUUCGCCUGUGACGAAGCGUGAGUGACGGUAAUGGGUAAAGAAGCACCGGCUAACUACGUG